ensembl:miRNA eca-mir-8960 eca-mir-8960
CUGGCCGUGUGGGCCCCAGCCUCUGCGUUCUGGGGCCUGUGGCUGGUGUGGAGCGUGUGGAGGGAGGUGCUGUCCAUGCAACCUGGCCUAGGCUCUGCGGCACCUGGGGGCGGGGCUGUUGGCGGGCCUCU